GGUCCGGCAGCAUAGUGGUUAACGCAUCAGAACUAAUUCACGUAGUAACAUCAUUGUUCUGAGCACCUUUGUUCAACUCAAGGCUGGAUCA